AUAACGGUCCUAAGGUAGCGAAAUUCCUUGUCAGGUAAGUUCUGACCCGCACGAAUGGCGUAACGAUUUGGGCGCUGUCUCAACAGCCCACCCGGCGAAAUUGUAGUACUGGUGAAGAAGCCAGUUACCCGCAACUAGACGGAAAGACCCCAUGGAGCUUUACUGUAGCUUAAUACUGAAGAUCGGUAAUGCAUGUACAGGAUAGGUGGGAGACUAGGAAGCCAGGGCGUCAGCUUUGGUGGAGUCAACCUUGGGAUACCACUCUUGUAUUGCUGGUUUUCUAACCUGCGGCCCUGAAUCGGGUCGGGGGACACUGUUAGGUGGGCAGUUUGACUGGGGCGGUCGCCUCCAAAAGAGUAACGGAGGCGCUCAAAGGUUCGUUCAGCACGGACGGAAAUCGUGCAUUGAGUGUAAACGCAUAAACGAGCCUAACUGCGAGACCGACGGGUCGAGCAGUAACGAAAGUUGGAGUUAGUGAUCCGGUGGUAUGUGAGUGGAAAUGCCAUCGCUCAACGGAUAAAAGCUACCCUGGGGAUAACAGGCUGAUCUCCCCCAAGAGUCCACAUCGACGGGGAGGUUUGGCACCUCGAUGUCGGCUCAUCGCAUCCUGGGGCUGUAGUCGGUCCCAAGGGUUGGGCUGUUCGCCCAUUAAAGCGGUACGCGAGCUGGGUUCAGAACGUCGUGAGACAGUUCGGUCCCUAUCUGUCGUGGGCGCAGGAUAUUUGAGUGGAGCUGUCCCUAGUACGAGAGGACCGGGAUGGACGCACCACUGGUGCACCAGUUGUCGUGCCAACGGCACAGCUGGGCAGCUAAGUGCGGAUCGGAUAAACGCUGAAGGCAUCUAAGCGUGAAACCGGCCACAAGAUAAGAUAUCCCACUAGGUUAACUAGGUAAGACCCCUUGAAGACUACAAGGUAGAUAGGCACGAAGUGAAAGCGUUGUGAGGCGUUUAGCUAGCGUGUACUAAUCGGUCGAGGGCUUGACCAA
rnacentral:rRNA from 1 species